CCCUUAGAUGUCCUGGGCCGCACGCGCGCUACACUGACAUGUUCAACAAGCCUCCUAAUUCGACAGGAUUUGGGAAAUCUUUGAACGCAUGUCGUGAUAGGGAUAGAUCAUUGCAAUUAUUGAUCUUGAACGAGGAAUUCCUAGUAAACGCGAGUCAUCAGCUCGCAUUGAUUACGUCCCUGCCCUUUGUACACACCGCCCGUCGCACCUACCGAUUGAAUGUUUCGGUGAAGAUUCCGGAUAGGACUUUUUUGAUUUAUUUCAAUUCUGUCUUAAAAGCUAUCUAAACCUCAACAUUUAGAGGAAGGUGAAGUCGUAACA
rnacentral:rRNA from 1 species